UUGAGGAGUUCACUGCUGAGAUGAGUAAUUAACACUAUCUCGUUAUUCCCAAACUUGUUUGGGAGGCAAUACAAGGCAGGAGUGGAUCUUUUAGCUACUCUGUUGACCCUCCCAUUUUUUGAAUCAUUUAUUGUACUUGAGAUUUUUAAAAAUAGUAUUUGGACAUCUGUCAAGUUACAACUUCUCUGUCCUUAAUUAGUAUCAGUUCUCAGUAAAAGCCUCAAUUUGAUGUGAUCGUG
rnacentral:misc_RNA from 1 species